rnacentral:rRNA from 1 species
CCUACGGGAGGCUGCAGUGGGGAAUAUUGCACAAUGGGGGAAACCCUGAUGCAGCGACGCCGCGUGAGUGAAGAAGUAUUUCGGUAUGUAAAGCUCUAUCAGCAGGGAAGAAGAAAGACGGUACCUGACUCAGAAGCCCCGGCUCACUACGUGCCAGCAGCCGCGGUAAUACGUAGGGGGCAAGCGUUAUCCGGAUUUACUGGGUGUAAAGGGAGCGUAGACGGCUGUGCAAGUCUGAAGUGAAAGCCCAGGGCUCAACCCUGGGACUGCUUUGGAAACUGUGGAGCUAGAGUGCUGGAGAGGUAAGUGGAAUUCCUAGUGUAGCGGUGAAAUGCGUAGAUAUUAGGAGGAACACCAGUGGCGAAGGCGGCUUACUGGACAGUAACUGACGUUGAGGCUCGAAAGCGUGGGGAGCAAACAGGAUUAGAUACCCGGGUAGUC